AGUUGUAAACGUCUGAGACCUGCAUCACUUAGGGUUUUCCUCCCACAUCAAGCUAACACGCUGUGAUAUAACUGUAAUACUGUUUAAAACGGCGCUAAACCAAAUUCACUCUCACUCACAGAAUGUGCAGCAGAUAAGAAAUGUGAAAUCAAAUUGGUUUUAUCUUUUUCUCAAAUAAACGCCAGUACAGUAUUAUCUUUUUGGACACUGAGAGGGGUUUGUGAG